AGAGUUUGAUCAUGGCUCAGGACGAACGCUGGCGGCGUGCCUAAUGCAUGCAAGUCGAGCGGGCUACGAUCUUCGGAUUGUAGCUUAGCGGCGAACGGGUGAGUAACACGUAGGUAAUCUACCCUUCAGAGGAGGACAACCUCAGGAAACUGAGGCUAAACCUUCAUACGUCCACUGGUAGGGAUACUGGUGAGGAAAGAGUUACCUUAGUGGUAGCUGCUGAAGGAUGAGCCUGCGGCCCAUCAGGUAGUUGGUGAGGUAACGGCUCACCAAGCCGAAGACGGGUAACCGGUCUGAGAGGAUGUCCGGUCACACUGGGACUGAGACACGGCCCAGACUCCUACGGGAGGCAGCAGCAGGGAAUCUUGGGCAAUGGGCGAAAGCCUGACCCAGCGACGCCGCGUGGAGGAAGAAGUCCUUCGGGGCGUAAACUCCUGGACUGGGGGACGAGUAAGGACGGUACCCCAGUAGAAAGGGACGGCUAACUACGUGCCAGCAGCCGCGGUAAAACGUAGGUCCCGAGCGUUGUUCGGAUUCACUGGGUGUAAAGGGCGCGUAGGUGGUUGUCUGUGUCUCAUGUGAAAACUCAGGGCUCAACUCUGAGAUUGCGUGGGAAACUAGGCAGCUAGAGGACGGUAGAGGGGAGUGGAAUUCCCGGUGUAGCGGUAAAAUGCGUAGAUAUCGGGAGGAACACCGGUGGCGAAGGCGGCUCUCUGGGCCGAUCCUGACGCUGAGGCGCGAAAGCUAGGGGAGCGAACCG
rnacentral:rRNA from 1 species